GACGUAGGGCGCGAGCGUUGUCCGGAUUUAUUGGGCGUAAAGAGCUCGUAGGCGGCUUGUUGCGUCGGCUGUGAAAACCCAUGGCUCAACCGUGGGCUUGCAGCCGAUACGGGCAGGCUAGAGUUCGGUAGGGGAGACUGGAAUUCCUGGUGUAGCGGUGAAAUGCGCAGAUAUCAGGAGGAACACCGGUGGCGAAGGCGGGUCUCUGGGCCACUACUGACGCUGAGAAGCGAAAGCAUGGGGAGCGAACAGG
rnacentral:rRNA from 1 species